UACGGAGGGAGCUAGCGUUGUUCGGAAUUACUGGGCGUAAAGCGCACGUAGGCGGCUUUGUAAGUUAGAGGUGAAAGCCCGGGGCUCAACCCCGGAAAUUGCCUUUAAGACUGCAUCGCUUGAAUCCAGGAGAGGUGAGUGGAAUUCCGAGUGUAGAGGUGAAAUUCGUAGAUAUUGCAGGAACACCAGUGGCGAAGGCGGCUUACUGGUCCAGCACCGACGUCA
rnacentral:rRNA from 1 species